GUUUUUAUAGUAGAAGAUACUACGUUGACUUUUCGCGUCGAAGGUGAGACUUAGUCUUUAAAAAUU
rnacentral:tRNA from 1 species